AAAAAAAAAAAAAAGAAAGAGUGUAUAGUGAAUAUUAGUCUUUUAUUCCUUCAUUUUUCGAUAGCCGCUAGUUUUCAGUGGACUCUCGAAAGGAAAACCUCACUUCUUCCUUAAGACAUAUAAAAUAAAGUGAAACUGGAUCCACUUUUGCCCGACCAGCAUUAAAGGCUAGAGUAAAGAUGGAUUCGGAGGAAUAAACUACUUAAAGAUGGAACCACUUCAUAUGUGGGAGAUACGACUGAUCCUGUUUGGGAACUUCAAAGGCAGGUUAAUGACCUGCAGAGGGAGUUGGUUGUUGUGAGAGCGACGAUGUUCAGAGAGAUACAGAGGCUGAUGAGGGCCCUGCUACUGCGAGUUGAUUGGCCGCAUGUCAUUAAUGAUGAUGAUGAUAAUAAUAAUAAUUAGAAUGUGGUUUUUCUUUUAGCGUAUGUAUUUUAAUUUUUGUAUAUCGGAUCAAUACCUAAUGUAUUUUAUUUUUUGUUUAGUGAAAAAUUUAUUU